UACGGGGGGGGCAAGCGUUGUUCGGAAUUACUGGGCGUAAAGGGCUCGUAGGCGGCCAACUAAGUCAGACGUGAAAUCCCUCGGCUUAACCGGGGAACUGCGUCUGAUACUGGAUGGCUUGAGUUCGGGAGAGGGAUGCGGAAUUCCAGGUGUAGCGGUGAAAUGCGCAGAUAUCAGGAGGAACACCAGCGGCGAAGGCGGCGCUCUGGGCUGGAACUGACGCUGAGGAGCGAAAGCGUGGGGAGCGAACAGG
rnacentral:rRNA from 1 species